rnacentral:rRNA from 1 species
UAGUUUAAGGAAAUAAUCUUAAAUGUAUUCUGCCCAAUGAUUUUUUAAAUGGCCGCAGUACCUUGACUGUGCUAAGGUAGCAUAAUCAAUUGGCUUCUAAUUAAAGUCUGGAAUGAAAGGAAAAAUGAAGUAAUUCUGUCUUAAAAAAUUUUUUUUAAAUUUAUUUAAAUGAUGAAAAUAUCAUUUUUUAGAAAAAAGACGAGAAGACCCUUAGAGUUUUUAUUAUUUUUUUUGUUGGGGUGACAAGUAAACAAUUUAAACUUUACUAAUUUUUUUUAAUCGAUUUAAUAAUAAGAUUAAUUAAACUACCUUAGGGAUAACAGCAUUAUAUUAUAUAUGAUUGUGACCUCGAUGUUGGACUAGGAACUUUAUGGCUAGCCGUCAUAAAAGAUUUGUUCUGUUCGAACAAUUUUAUCCUAC